rnacentral:rRNA from 1 species
GGGUGUAACGUUAUGCAAUCUACCUUCCACAGAGGGAUAGCCCAGAAAAUUUGGAUUAAUACCUCAUAGUAUAAUGACUCGGCAUCGAGACAUUAUUAAAGUCACAACGGUAAAAGAUGAGCAUGCGUCCCAUUAGCUAGUUGGUAAGGUAACGGCUUACCAAGGCUACGAUGGGUAGGGGUCCUGAGAGGGAGAUCCCCCACACUGGUACUGAGACACGGACCAGACUCCUACGGGAGGCAGCAGUGAGGAAUAUUGGACAAUGGGCGCAAGCCUGAUCCAGCCAUGCCGCGUGCAGGAUGACGGUCCUAUGGAUUGUAAACUGCUUUUAUACAGGAAGAAACCCUGGUUCGUGAACCAGCUUGACGGUACUGUAAGAAUAAGGAUCGGCUAACUCCGUGCCAGCAGCCGCGGUAAUACGGAGGAUCCAAGCGUUAUCCGGAAUCAUUGGGUUUAAAGGGUCCGUAGGCGGUUUAGUAAGUCAGUGGUGAAAGCCCAUCGCUCAACGGUGGAACGGCCAUUGAUACUGCUAAACUUGAAUUAUUAGGAAGUAACUAGAAUAUGUAGUGUAGCGGUGAAAUGCUUAGAGAUUACAUGGAAUACCAAUUGCGAAGGCAGGUUACUACUAAUUGAUUGACGCUGAUGGACGAAAGCGUGGGUAGCGAACAGGAUUAGAUACCCUGGUGGUCCACGCCGUAAACGAUGGAUACUAGCUGUUGGAAGCAAUUUCAGGGCUAAGCGAAAGUGAUAAGUUCCCACCUGGGGA